UACGUAGGCAGCAAGCGUUGUUCGGAAUUACUGGGCGUAAAGCGCACGUAGGCGGCUUUGUAAGUUAGAGGUGAAAGCCCGGGGCUCAACCCCGGAAUUGCCUUUAAGACUGCAUCGCUUGAAUCCGGGAGAGGUGAGUGGAAUUCCGAGUGUAGAGGUGAAAUUCGUAGAUAUUCGGAAGAACACCAGUGGCGAAGGCGGCUCACUGGACCGGUAUUGACGCUGAGGUGCGAAAGCGUGGGGAGCAAACAGG
rnacentral:rRNA from 1 species